UUUGGACUUGCAGGCAUGUUGCA
rnacentral:miRNA from 2 species